GGGGGCGGAUGUAGCCAAGUGGAUCAAGGCAG
rnacentral:tRNA from 1 species